rnacentral:rRNA from 1 species
AUUGAACGCUGGCGGCAUGCCUUACACAUGCAAGUCGAACGGUAACGCGGGGCAACCUGGCGACGAGUGGCGAACGGGUGAGUAAUAUAUCGGAACGUGCCCAGGCGUGGGGGAUAACGCGGCGAAAGCUGUGCUAAUACCGCAUACGAUCUAAGGAUGAAAGCGGGGGAUCGCAAGACCUCGCGCGGUGGGAGCGGCCGAUAUCAGAUUCGCUAGUUGGUGGGGUAAAGGCCCACCAAGGCGACGAUCUGUAGCUGGUCUGAGAGGACGACCAGCCACACUGGAACUGAGACACGGUCCAGACUCCUACGGGAGGCAGCAGUGGGGAAUUUUGGACAAUGGGCGCAAGCCUGAUCCAGCAAUGCCGCGUGCAGGAUGAAGGCCUUCGGGUUGUAAACUGCUUUUGUACGGAACGAAACGGCCCUUUGUAAUACAGGGGGCUAAUGACGGUACCGUAAGAAUAAGCACCGGCUAACUACGUGCCAGCAGCCGCAGUAACAC